rnacentral:rRNA from 1 species
UACGUAGGGGGCAAGCGUUGUCCGGAAUCAUUGGGCGUAAAGCGCGUGUAGGCGGCUCGUUAAGUCUGCUGUGAAAGUCCAGGGCUCAACCCUGGGAUGCCGGUGGAUACUGUCGAGCUCGAGUCCGGAAGAGGCGAGUGGAAUUCCUGGUGUAGCGGUGAAAUGCGCAGAUAUCAGGAGGAACACCAAUGGCGAAGGCAGCUCGCUGGGACGUGACUGACGCUGAGGCGCGAAAGCGUGGGGAGCAAACAGG